CACGUAGGGGGCAAGCGUUGUUCGGAAUUAUUGGGCGUAAAGCGCUUGUAGGCGGCCUGUCAAGUCGCGUGUGAAAUCCCCUGGCUUAACCAGGGAAGUGCGCGCGAAACUGAAGGGCUUGAGUGCCGGAGAGGGUCGCGGAAUUCCCGGUGUAGAGGUGAAAUUCGUAGAUAUCGGGAGGAACACCAGUGGCGAAGGCGGCGACCUGGACGGACACUGACGCUGAGACGCGAAAGCGUGGGGAGCAAACAGG
rnacentral:rRNA from 1 species